rnacentral:rRNA from 1 species
GCUUACACAUGCAAGUCGAACGAUGAAGCCUAGCUUGCUAGGUGGAUUAGUGGCGCACGGGUGAGUAAUAUAUAGCUAAUCUGCCCUUUAGAGGGGGACAACAGUUGGAAACGACUGCUAAUACCCCAUACUCCUUCUUAUCAAAAGAUAAGUCGGGAAAACUCCGGUGCUAAAGGAUGAGGCUGUACGGUAUCAGGUAGUUGGUGAGGUAAUGGCUCACCAAGCCUAUGACGCCUAGCUGGUCUGAGAGGAUGAUCAGCCACUCUGGAACUGAGACACGGUCCAGACUCCUACGGGAGGCAGCAGUGGGGAAUAUUGCACAAUGGGGGAAACCCUGAUGCAGCAACGCCGCGUGGAGGAUGACGCAUUUCGGUGUGUAAACUCCUUUUAUAUCCCAAGAUAAUGACGGUAGGAUAUGAAUAAGCACCGGCUAACUCCGUGCCAGCAGCCGCGGUAAUACGGAGGGUGCAAGCGUUACUCGGAAUCACUGGGCGUAAAGGGCGCGUAGGCGGGUUAUCAAGUCUUGAGUGAAAUCCAACGGCUCAACCGUUGAACUGCUUGAGAAACUGGUAGCCUAGAGUAAGGGAGAGGUAGAUGGAAUUGGUGGUGUAGGGGUAAAAUCCGUAGAGAUCACCAGGAAUACCCAUUGCGAAGGCGAUCUGCUGGAACUUUACUGACGCUGAGGCGCGAAAGCGUGGGGAGCAAACAGGACUAGAUACCCUGGUAGUCCACGCCCUAAACGACGAACACUAGUUGUUGCGGCGCAAGUCGUCGCAGUAAUACACCUAACGGAUUAAGUGUUCCGCCUGGGGAGUACGGUCGCAAGAUUAAAACUCAAAGGAAUAGACGGGGACCCGCACAAGCGGUGGAGCAUGUGGUUUAAUUCGAAGAUACGCGAAGAACCUUACCUGGACUUGAUAUCCUUAGAAUCCUUAAGAGAUUAGGGAGUGCUAGUUUACUAGAGCUAAGUGACAGUGCUGCACGGCUGUCGUCAGCUCGUGUC